rnacentral:lncRNA from 1 species
CCCAGGCGACGUGGACAAGGCUCUGAAAUACCUGGAGGUGAGGGGGCAGCUAGGCAGGUGGCUACACUGGAGGCAGGACCACCAGCUCUAUCCCUGACUUUGUCCCGUGACCUCUGGCAAGUGGCAGCCACUCCCUCCUCUGCCCUGGGUCUUACCCUGCGGGUCCCACUGCAGCCACCAGGGGGCGGCUGCGAGCCAAGAAGAGAAGGCCCAGGAAAGGAACAUCUGGCUUCAGCAGGGCCCAGCCUCGCUCGCGGCUCCCUGUCCAGUCCCCCCACCUACACAGUAAGGUCUGCAACCUUCUAGGACAGCCAGAUCCUCACCUACCACUACGGAAUCCCGACCUCUCUCCGGAAGACAGGCCAGCAGUGGGACUUCCCCAACGCCUGGGCCCCCCUGCAGGACCUGGUCAUCAGAGGUCUGGCCAAGUCUCCUUCAGCCAGAGCCCAGGAAGUGGCUUUCCAGCUGGCCCAGAAUUGGAUCCGCACCAACUUUGAUGUCUACUCCAGGAGGUCAGCCAUGUACGAGAAGUAUGACAUCAGCAACGGUGGACAGCCGGGUGGUGGAGGGGAGUAUGAAGUUCAGGUGAGUGGCCCAUAUCCUACAGGGACCUUUGGGGCUCUGCUUCCCCACAACUGACCAUGACUUGCCCUUUCUGGGUUUCAGUUUCUUGGGUGCAUGUGGGUUAGUCCACAUGCUUCACUGUCCUGCUGAGAUGUUUAUAAAUGCUAAAAAACCACCCGGCCUGAAGUCCCAAAACCAUGAGUCACAAGUGCUAUGAAGGAGGGUAGAGGAGGUGGAAGCUGAACAAGUGUUGAACUCUGCCCUCCUGCACUAUCCCUUCGAAGGAGCCCAAAUUUGAACAUAUUAGUCUAGAUCAUAUCAUGCCUCUGGGCAUUUUUAAAAACAAUAGAGCAAUGAUCCAGCAGUUAUUUUAUCAGCUGAAUGUGCUCAGGGAAAGAAAGGAAGAAAACCCUGCCAAUAUCACUGUCAUCCCAGGGUGACCGAGGGCACAAUCAAAGCUGUGCCCUGUCGGAGGAGCAUAGGCUUAACACUGAGGGAGGGAAAGAGGCUUCACUAAAAUAAUCUAGCCAGACACUCCACAAAUCAACACACAAAGAACAAUAACAAGCCCUGUUGGGCGAUGUGAGGAAACAGGAGCAGUACCCAGACCUGCCAUAUUAUCCAAAAUGUCCAUUUUCCAACAAAAAACUAUGAAACAUGCAGUUAUUAUGAUACAAUAGAGUAUCACACACACACACAAAGAAGAGAAAAGAAACUGCCCGUGAGAGUGAACAGAUGUCAGAUUUAAAAGCAGAAACUUCAGGAGUUCCUGUCCUGGCUCAGUGGAAACAAAUCUGACUAGUAUCUAUAAGGAUGUGGUUUCCAUCCCUGGCCUCGCUCAAUGGGUUAAGAAUCCGGUCUUCAGGUAGGGUUCAUCCCAGGUUCACAAGGAUGGUUCAACAUACCUUAAUCAAUCAACAUCAUACACCACAUUAACA